rnacentral:rRNA from 1 species
UACGGAGGGUGCAAGCGUUAUCCGGAUUUACUGGGUUUAAAGGGUGCGUAGGUGGGUUGGUAAGUCAGUGGUGAAAUACUUUCGCUUAACGAAGGAACUGCCAUUGAUACUACCAGUCUUGAAUACAGUGGAGGUAGGCGGAGUGCGUCAUGUAGCGGUGAAAUGCUUAGAUAUGACGCAGAACACCAAUUGCGAAGGCAGCUUGCUACACUGUUAUUGACACUGAGGCACGAAAGCGUGGGGAUCAAACAGG